GACGAACGCUGGCGGCGUGCUUAACACAUGCAAGUCGAACGGAAAGGCCCUGCUUGCAGGGUACUCGAGUGGCGAACGGGUGAGUAACACGUGGGUUAUCUGCCCUGCACUUCGGGAUAAGCCUGGGAAACUGGGUCUAAUACCGGAUAGGAGCCAUUUUUAGUGUGAUGGUUGGAAAGUUUUUUCGGUGUAGGAUGAGCUCGCGGCCUAUCAGCUUGUUGGUGGGGUAAUGGCCUACCAAGGCGGCGACGGGUAGCCGGCCUGAGAGGGUGGACAGCCACAUUGGGACUGAGAUACGGCCCAGACUCCUACGGGAGGCGGCAGUGGGGAAUAUUGCACAAUGGGCGCAAGCCUGAUGCAGCGACGCCGCGUGGGGGAUGACGGCCUUCGGGUUGUAAACUCCUUUCGCUAGGGACGAAGCUUUUUGUGACGGUACCUAGAUAAGAAGCACCGGCUAACUACGUG
rnacentral:rRNA from 1 species